UACGUAGGGGGCAAGCGUUGUCCGGAUUUAUUGGGCGUAAAGAGCGUGUAGGCGGCUUCACAGGUCCGCUGUGAAAACUCGAGGCUCAACCUCGAGCUGUCGGUGGAAACCGUGUGGCUAGAGUCCGGAAGAGGAGAGUGGAAUUCCCGGUGUAGCGGUGAAAUGCGUAGAUAUCAGGAGGAACACCUGUGGCGAAAGCGGCGCACUGGACCACAACUGACGCUGAGGCGCGAAAGCUAGGGGAGCAAACAGG
rnacentral:rRNA from 1 species